AUUGAACGCUGGCGGCAUGCCUUACACAUGCAAGUCGAGCGGGCAGCGCGGGGGCAACCCUGGCGGCGAGCGGCGAACGGGUGAGUAAUGCAUCGGAACGUGUCCUCUUGUGGGGGAGUAACCAGUCGAAAGACUGGCUAAUACCGCAUGAGAUCGAGAGAUGAAAGCGGGGGACCGCAAGGCCUCGCGCGAGAGGAGCGGCCGAUGUCGGA
rnacentral:rRNA from 1 species